GACCUAACCCCCUUUAUGGGGCACGGUUAAUAAAAUCCAUCGUGAAAUAACAGCUCGUCAUAGGGUUACUAUUUCACGAUGGUCAUACUGGAAACGGUAUCGGAGCUUAGGCUUCG
rfam:Candidatus Saccharibacteria bacterium GW2011_GWC2_48_9 TY35_C0005, whole genome shotgun sequence.